rnacentral:lncRNA from 1 species
UCGACACUUGGAGUUACAGAUCACUUUGAAGUUCCAGGAGUGAUCCUUGUCGGGUCUGCUUCUAUUGAUGAAAAGGAAAACGUAGAAGCUACCUUAGCCAAUGAAGAAGAAGCUACCUUAGCCAAUGAAGCAAGCGCCAGAGGUACCUUAGCCAAUGAAGCAAGCGCCGAAGCUGCCUUAGCCAAUGAAGAAGAAGAAGCUACCUUAGCCAAUGAAGCAAGCGCUGAAGCUACCUUAGCCAAUGAAGCAAGUGCUGAAGCUACCUUAGCCAAUGAAGCAAGGGCUGAAGCUACCUUAGCCAAUGAAGCAAGCUCUGAAGCUACAGUAACCAAUGAAGCAAGCGCUGAAGCUAAAAUAUGCAUUGAAGUAAGCUCUGAAGGUAAAAGAGCCAAUGAAGCAAGCUCAGAAGCUAAAAUAGC